rnacentral:rRNA from 1 species
AUCGCCUCCUGAUUUUUUACUUAUAGGAGGUCCCGCCUGCCCUGUGAUCAUGAAUUUAACGGCCGCGGUAUUUUGACCGUGCAAAGGUAGCGCAAUCACUUGUCUUUUAAAUGGAGACCUGUAUGAAUGGCAUAACGAGGGCUUGACUGUCUCCCUUUCCCAGUCAAUGAAAUUGAUUUUUCCGUGCAGAAGCGGGAAUACACACAUAAGACGAGAAGACCCUGUGGAGCUUUAGACAAUGAGCGGACCCAGUAAAGACUACCAUCUCUACCGGUAAAAACAAGAGGGACACCCGCUUUGCUGUCUUUGGUUGGGGCGACCGCGGGGGAAUACACAUCCCCCAUGUGGAAUAUGGAUACCAUUCUUUGAAUAAAGAGCGUCAGCUCAAUGAAGCAGAAUAUCUGACCUAUAAAGACCCGGCGUAUUUGCCGAUCAACGGAACCAGUUACCCCAGGGAUAACAGCGCAAUCCUCUCCCAGAGCCCAUAUCGACGAGGGGGUUUACGACCUCGAUGUUGGAUCAGGACAUCCUAACGGUGCAGCCGCUGUUAAGGGUUCGUUUGUUCAACGAUUAAAGUCCUACGUGAU